rnacentral:rRNA from 1 species
GACGAACCGUCCGAACGUUAUUCGGAAUCACUGGGCUUAAAGGGUGCGUAGGCGGCGCGGAAAGUUGGGUGUGAAAUCCCUCGCUUAACCGAGGAACGGCGCCCAAAACUACCGUGCUCGAGGGAGAUAGAGGUGAGCGGAACUUAGGGUGGAGCGGUGAAAUGCGUUGAUAUCCUAAGGAACACCGGUGGCGAAAGCGGCUCACUGGAUCUCUUCUGACGCUGAUGCACGAAAGCUAGGGUAGCGAACGGG